UCAUACCAGCAGGUGCUCGUGGCCAGGAGAGGUGAGGGUCGUCCCCUGUCGCUUUCUAUCACCCAACCUUUCUACCAUCAGUUGGGUGUUGGUGCUGUGGGCGUCGGUGGCGGCUGUGGCGUCUGUGUCUGUGCCGUGACGUCAGCAGACUGUGGGACAAGGGGACGGUGGCAGCAGCGUACGUCUGUCAGUGGUGCCUACAUGUGCUGCUCGCUACUCGGAGUGUCGCCCAUACUGGUGUACCUGGCCUGUGCUGUCUCCUGGAGGUGGCAUUACUCUACCCUCAACCGUCUUGUGGGUACACCUGGGUACACUUAUCGCUCUCCAGUGCCAUCUGUGUACUAUGAAAAAAGUAAAGUCUUAUGCUUGGUG